UAUUUCAACUCUUCUCAGUGAGCUUUUCAGGAGGCCUCAUUUUACAAUUGAAAUUCAUUUUCAGUAAAAUUAAAGCCAAAUUAAAAGAAAUAUUUUGAUGGUUAAAAAAAUAAUCCAAUCUAAAGAUCUAAAGUUACUCUUUUGCAAGCUUUCAGUGUUUAAGCAUGCUCAGUAAUAUACUUUUUGUUCUGAUUUUGGAUGGAUAUUAUUGUUUAGAAAUUUCAAUAUUUUUGAUGGAAGAGGAAAUAAUUUUCAACUGGAUUCUGAUUGCUCUUUUGGAUGGAAUUAGCUAAAUCCUACAGAAUGCCCAUCUCUAAGAAUGCCCAUUUGUAAGACACAAAACAGGAUAAUUAUAUAUUUUAAACUGAAGAAAGUUGAUCAAAUCUUGACUAAUUCAUGAAGAUGAUGAUGCUUUGAUAGCGUCGGGAUUUUAGCAUAUCUCUAAAUAAAAUGCUCUCCUACUCUUUUUAAGCCAUUAAGAUGUCUUUAUAUGCCCGUAUAAUUAUGCUUAGAAAUCAGGUUCUUUCUGUUUCUCCCAGAUGUUGCUUGUUUGGUCAGUGCAAAGGGGAAAAUAAGCUUAAGAGCGUUCUUGUCCUUCAGCAGCAAGGUGACAGCGGCACUCUGAGCUGCAAGAAGACACUUGGUGCAGCCACUUGCUGGAGAAGCUGUGUCUUUCCAGCUUUUGUUCACGUGGAAGCUGAACUCACAGGCUCUGGCAGAGAUACCUAGGAAUGAAAAUUCAUGUGUGAAGAUGAUGAAGGCUGGGAGCACCGUGGCUACAGACCCAGUCUACAGCUGCACUAACCACAUCACUGGGUUAAGCCAAGUGAAGCCAGUGGUUUUACACCAAGGGAUGCAACGACUCAGUUUCUCCGUCCAUCCUCAUGGUCCAUCCUCUGUCUCUAGUCUUUUAGUGCCUUCCAGUUCGUCUAUCCUAAUGUUCACAUAAAAAGAAAAACGUAAGCAAAGAUAUGACUUAUUCCAGGCUGUAGUUUUUAUACAUUAGAUCCUUCCCUAUUCCAGUAAGGGUGGCACCAUGAAAUAAAUGCUCAAAAAGAUUUUCUCACUGAGUUAACAACUACUUUAAGUAAGGAUUUGUAAGAUUUAAGGCUUGUGCCAUUCUUUACAAAGGAAAUUCAGUUCACAUAGCUUACACUGCAUGCAUGAUUAUGAUCUUAGACUUCGACUGCAUGCGCUUCAUUUUGUCACAUAUGGGCCAGGCUGAAAAAAUUAAUGAAUACCCAAUAUUAUCCUAGCAAAUUGCAAGCAUGUUUGUUUUCACAUUCAAUUUUAAUUAGGCCAAGACUACCAUGAAUCAUUUGAAAGGUUCUUGGGACCCAUCUUAAUGACAUCCUUUUGUUUGUUUUUUCCAUGCAAACUUUAGCUGGUGUACUCAUGGAAAAGAUAAUUAGCAAUGAACAAAUAUAGUCUUCAGAAAGCAAAGUUGUCUUUGUUACUUAGUAAAACAAACAAACAAACGGGGCUCAUUUAGGCAUGGCAAUUUGCUAGAUAAUAGGUAUGUCAUUGAACAACUGAAGCGGAAUGGUUGGUAUCUCUCUUUUUGAUUCCUUACUCAGGUGUGACAUAAGGAUUUAGACCAAAAGAAAAGACAGGAGGGACUCCUUCCCAGUUGUAAAAGUGCCUGAUGAAAGAAGGCUUAUUUCCCACCUGCGGUUGCUAAAAGGGAAGCCACGACCCAGCGCUGGUACCAGGGCUGUCUCCAUCCCACAGUGGGUACACGCUGUCCCCUGCCUGUCAGCCCAGAGGAAUGUCAUCAGCCAUUGCCCAACACUCAAUUAGUUUUUUAAACCAGAAUUUCUUCUAUCCACAUUGCUAAAGUGUUCAUAGUCAUGACAUACAGCGAUGCUUUGCAUUUAAAAAGUGUGCAUGUAGGAAUAAGUGAGCUGAAACUGUUUGGAGUGGUCGGCUGCCUCCACCGUGUCCCCCUCCAUAGUCAUUGCCCCAUGCACUGAAGUCAGCCACCAGAUUAUCUUUCGCUCCAGUACUUGUGGUAAUGCUUUAUUUCCAUCCUAAAACACCAAAGUAUGGACUUUCUUCAUCUUCUGUUAGACACUUUACAGAAUUCACAGAACUUAGGCAUUUUUCUAAGGCUGUACCAGGUGUUGCAUUUCCACCCAGCAGAGCACAGUCCUGCGUCCUUCUGCUUUAAGAUGCUGCUCUUUAGUAAUCAAUUAAUAAUUUCAUGCUAGCAUGGUUACUGUAUCUUUUCCGAGUUCAUUUACAAGCUGGACUAUUACCAUGGUAAAAGCUAAACAAUUCCCUGUAAACUGCUUCACCCACAGAUCAGUUUUAUUCUUCUCAAUUAAUCUUGAGCGCAGGGCCAUCCGGAUGGCUCUCCCUCCUUGUUUGCUGCUGAUGCACUGUACUGUUUUACAGGCUAACUCCUCUCAUUAAUUCUGCCUCGUUGUUUUUGCCAGCGUGACAUGCUAGAAUGCAGACAGUGCCAAAGUUUGCAGAAAAAUUUCCAUGAGGCUGAGGGGUAUUCUGCAGGGAGGAGAAGUAGGAAACGUGACAGAAGUCACCUUUUAUUAGUGCCAGUCUUGACUCCAACGUAAGGAAACGGUGCAGUAAGUGACAGCUUCUUUAGUUUCUGUUUUUUUCUGCAAGAGUAGCUCCUUUGUCAGCCAGUCAAAGUGAGUUUCAGGGAAAUUUAUAGAAACAUGUUAACUCUUGGAGGGCUACAAAUACCCUGUGAGGUACACGAAAAACCUUUCUCUUCUGAGAUUUUGCACCGCAAUAGAUGUCCUCUGUGUUAUGUAUGCCGCACAUCUAAUACACCAGCCCUUUUCUUCAGGCAUCGAAUCAGCCCUUCAAGAGCAAUUCUGAUGGAGCAUCCUCCAUGGCACAAGUUGAUCAUCUGUGCAGGGUGGAUCCUUCCAACUUGUUCAUAAUCAGAUAGGAGCCUUGGUGGGUUGGGUGGGAGGCCUCCUCCUAAUCCCACUGAAGUCAGAGGAAAGACUCCUAUUAACAGGCUUUGGAUCUGUGCCUGUGGGAAGCUCUUUUAUAAACCCCAGCUUGCCUCGAGCAGCCUAAUGCCUCCAGUUCGAACUAGCAGGGCAUGCUGUAAUAUAAAGCCAUUCUGUACUUCAGUUUUUCUAGGAUUAUUUGCAGGGAUAAGGUGGCCCUAUUGAGCUAAAAGUUGGGAUCUUGGAGACUGGGAGAAGAAACUGAUGGUAUGUCUGAGUACAGCUGGGAUCAAGAAGGUUACAACUCUCUUGCUUCUAGCACCAAAAUCUUUUUGCAACAUCAUCUCCCAGUCUUUUAACAAAUGCAGUCUUAUGCCCGUCCACAAUGCUGCCGUUGUUUGACCACGUAGCACUCUCUUGUACAGUCUGCUUACUUUCUCUUCCAAUAUAAAUCAGAUCCUCACUCACAGCAUCUACCAUGACUAACUAUUUCCCUACUUACCACCUUCUAUUCAGACUCUUUGUGCUGAAUAUUUAUACUUACAGCGUAAACUUCUGGGGAAGAGACCAUUUUGUGUUGUGUUUAUGCAUCAGUUGUCUCCUGGUCCAACAUAAUGACAACCAACAUUAAUAAUAAAAUAAACCAUGUUG